CUGAAGUGACAAAUGCCCUGCUUCCAGGAAAAGCCUCUAAGCAUCAGGUAACAUCAAAUCGUACCCCAAACCGACACAGGUGGUCAGGUAGAGAAUACCAAGGCGCUUGAGAGAACUCGGGUGAAGGAACUAGGCAAAAUGGUGCCGUAACUUCGGGAGAAGGCACGCUGAUAUGUAGGUGAAGCGACUUGCUCGUGGAGCUGAAAUCAGUCGAAGAUACCAGCUGGCUGCAACUGUUUAUUAAAAACACAGCACUGUGCAAACACGAAAGUGGACGUAUACGGUGUGACGCCUGCCCGGUGCCGGAAGGUUAAUUGAUGGGGUUAGCGGUAACGCGAAGCUCUUGAUCGAAGCCCCGGUAAACGGCGGCCGUAACUAUAACGGUCCUAAGGUAGCGAAAUUCCUUGUCGGGUAAGUUCCGACCUGCACGAAUGGCGUAAUGAUGGCCAGGCUGUCUCCACCCGAGACUCAGUGAAAUUGAACUCGCUGUGAAGAUGCAGUGUACCCGCGGCAAGACGGAAAGACCCCGUGAACCUUUACUAUAGCUUGACACUGAACAUUGAGCCUUGAUGUGUAGGAUAGGUGGGAGGCUUUGAAGUGUGGACGCCAGUCUGCAUGGAGCCGACCUUGAAAUACCACCCUUUAAUGUUUGAUGUUCUAACGUUGGCCCGUAAUCCGGGUUGCGGACAGUGUCUGGUGGGUAGUUUGACUGGGGCGGUCUCCUCCUAAAGAGUAACGGAGGAGCACGAAGGUUGGCUAAUCCUGGUCGGACAUCAGGAGGUUAGUGCAAUGGCAUAAGCCAGCUUGACUGCGAGCGUGACGGCGCGAGCAGGUGCGAAAGCAGGUCAUAGUGAUCCGGUGGUUCUGAAUGGAAGGGCCAUCGCUCAACGGAUAAAAGGUACUCCGGGGAUAACAGGCUGAUACCGCCCAAGAGUUCAUAUCGACGGCGGUGUUUGGCACCUCGAUGUCGGCUCAUCACAUCCUGGGGCUGAAGUAGGUCCCAAGGGUAUGGCUGUUCGCCAUUUAAAGUGGUACGCGAGCUGGGUUUAGAACGUCGUGAGACAGUUCGGUCCCUAUCUGCCGUGGGCGCUGGAGAACUGAGGGGGGCUGCUCCUAGUACGAGAGGACCGGAGUGGACGCAUCACUGGUGUUCGGGUUGUCAUGCCAAUGGCACUGCCCGGUAGCUAAAUGCGGAAGAGAUAAGUGCUGAAAGCAUCUAAGCACGAAACUUGCCCCGAGAUGAGUUCUCCCUGAGACUUAGAGUCUCCUGAAGGAACGUUGAAGACGACGACGUUGAUAGGCCGGGUGUGUAAGCGCAGCGAUGCGUUGAGCUAACCGGUACUAAUGAACCGUGAGGCUUAACCUUACAACGCCGAAG
rnacentral:rRNA from 1 species